rnacentral:rRNA from 1 species
AGCGGCGGACGGGUGAGUAAUGCUUAGGAAUCUGCUAUUUAGUGAGGGACAACAUUCCGAAAGGAAUGCUAAUACCGCAUACGUCCUACGGGAGAAAGCAGGGGAUCCUCGGACCUUGCGCUAAAUGAUGAGCCUAAGUCGGAUUAGCUAGUUGGUGGGGUAAAGGCCUACCAAGGCGACGAUCUGUAGCGGGUCUGAGAGGAUGAUCCGCCACACUGGGACUGAGACACGGCCCAGACUCCUACGGGAGGCAGCAGUGGGGAAUAUUGGACAAUGGGCGGAAGCCUGAUCCAGCCAUGCCGCGUGUGUGAAGAAGGCCUUUUGGUUGUAAAGCACUUUAAGCGAGGAGGAGGCUACCUGGAUUAAUACUCUGGGAUAGUGGACGUUACUCGCAGAAUAAGCACCGGCUAACUCUGUGCCAGCAGCCGCGGUAAUACAGAGGGUGCGAGCGUUAAUCGGAUUUACUGGGCGUAAAGCGUGCGUAGGCGGCUUUUUAAGUCGGGUGUGAAAUCCCCGAGCUUAACUUGGGAAUUGCAUUCGAUACUGGGAAGCUAGAGUAUGGGAGAGGAUGGUAGAAUUCCAGGUGUAGCGGUGAAAUGCGUAGAGAUCUGGAGGAAUACCGAUGGCGAAGGCAGCCAUCUGGCCUAAUACUGACGCUGAGGUACGAAAGCAUGGGGAGCAAACAGGAUUAGAUACCCUGGUAGUCCAUGCCGUANACGAUGUCUACUAGC